UCGGUGUACAGGUGGUGCAUGGUUGUCGUCAGCUCGUGUCGUGAGAUGUUGGGUUAAGUCCCGCAACGAGCCGCAACCCUCGUCCUAUGUUGCCAGCGGGUCAUGCCGGGGACUCAUGGGAGACUGCCGGGGUCAACUCGGAGGAAGGUGGGGAUGACGUCAAAUCAUCAUGCCCCUUAUGUCUUGGGCUUCACGCAUGCUACAAUGGCCGGUACAAAGGGCUGCGAUACCGCGAGGUGGAGCGAAUACCCAGAAAGCCGGUCUCAGUUCGGAUUGGGUCUGCAACUCGACCCCAUGAAGUCGGAGUCGCUAGUAAUCGCAGAUCAGCAACGCUGCGGUGAAUACCGGUUCCCGGGCCUU
rnacentral:rRNA from 1 species